AAGUAGAGCAAGGGAUAAUGUCAUCUGGAAUCAUGUUUGUGAUAAUUGUUGGACUGUUCCUUCUUGUCCGUGAUACUUUGAACCUUGAUUUUAUCAGGGAUUUGUUAUAAACAGUUGUCUAUAAGUUCAUAAUUCGGACGAAUUGAUUAGAGAAUUUUACGGACAUCUAUUAAGAACAGUAAGCAGCUAUUGGUUCAAGGAGAUUAUUCACCGAUGAUCAUUGAACAUAUAGGUCUUAAUUCAAGACACACUUUGCAGUUUGCAAGGUACUGGCUUCUCCAUGAUUUCAAUUCAUUUCACAUACAUGGAUAUUCCUGAAUACUGCCACAUUGUCUUCUGUUGGGUUGGUACCACUGGCCUAAAAGAGAAACCCUUUGCUCGUUUCAUUGCUUACAUGUAUAUGAAUGUUUAUACAAGCACAAUGCUUUACUUUCAUAUUCUUACUGUUGCCGUAGAAGCUGAGAAAACAAGAGAAGGAACUGUUCUAGAACUUGGCAAAUUAGUGAUUAAAUCUGGUUAUAGGUUUCCUUUUGUCUAAAGAACGUAUUUUAACACGAAGUUGAACUUGGCUUCUCCUGUUUUUACUUCCUUAAAUUGUGUAUUGCAGCAUUGUGUUCAUGUCUAAAAUAUCAUAGAUGAUACAGAUUUGGCUUCUUCCUGUGCUAUUGGUCUUGGUCAUU
rnacentral:misc_RNA from 1 species